rnacentral:rRNA from 1 species
UACAGAGGUCCCAAGCGUUGUUCGGAUUCACUGGGCGUAAAGGGUGCGUAGGCGGUUGGGUAGGUCUGAUGUGAAAUCUCCAAGCUCAACUUGGAAAUGGCAUCGGAUACUAUUCGGCUCGAGGAAUGGAGGGGAGACUGGAAUACUUGGUGUAGCAGUGAAAUGCGUAGAUAUCAAGUGGAACACCAGUGGCGAAGGCGAGUCUCUGGACAUUUCCUGACGCUGAGGCACGAAAGCCAGGGGAGCAAACGGG